GGGAAUAUUGCGCAAUGGGCGGAAGCCUGACGCAGCGACGCCGCGUGGGGGAUGACGGCCUUCGGGUUGUAAACCUCUUUCAGCAGGGACGAAGCCCUUGUGGUGACGGUACCUGCAGAAGAAGCACCGACCAACUACGUGCCAGCAGCCGCGGUAAUACGUAGGGUGCGAGCGUUGUCCGGAAUUAUUGGGCGUAAAGAGCUCGUAGGCGGUUCGUCGGGUCGGCUGUGAAAUCCCGGAGCUCAACUCCGGGUCUGCAGUCGAUACGGGCGGACUUGAGUUCGGCAGGGGAGACUGGAAUUCCUGGUGUAGCGGUGAAAUGCGCAGAUAUCAGGAGGAACACCGGUGGCGAAGGCGGGUCUCUGGGCCGAUACUGACGCUGAGGAGCGAAAGCGUGGGGAGCGAACAGGA
rnacentral:misc_RNA from 1 species